rnacentral:rRNA from 1 species
CAGGUUUCCGUAGGUGAACCUGCGGAAGGAUCAUUAUCGAGUUUUGAAAGCGGAGGCCUGUUGCUGGCGCGGAAACGCGCAUGUGCACGACCUUCGUGCUCAAUCCAUUCAACCCCUGUGCACCUUAACAAGUCGAAGUCAGUAGUCUCGUUGUGGGACUUUUGCAAGUAAUCAGUAAAGGGCGAACGCGUCAAGUUAGUAGCCCUUGAAAGUGAAAGUGAAGAGAACGCUGCGAGGCGAACGCUUUGGCUUCAUUUAUAAACACCUUUAUUGUCAUGUGAAUGUAAUGCUCCUUGUGGGCGAGAAUAAAUACAACUUUCAACAACGGAUCUCUUGGCUCUCGCAUCGAUGAAGAACGCAGCGAAAUGCGAUAAGUAAUGUGAAUUGCAGAAUUCAGUGAAUCAUCGAAUCUUUGAACGCACCUUGCGCCCCUUGGUAUUCCGAGGGGCAUGCCUGUUUGAGUGUCAUGUUAAUAUCAAACCGCUCGUCUUUCUUAACUCGAAGGGCUUGAGGUUUGGACUUGGAGGUUUUUUUGCUGGCACUCGUUUUGUCGGCUCCUCUUAAAUGCAUUAGCUGGACUUUGGUUCGCGUUUACGGUGUGAUAGUAACGUUGUUUCACCAGACGAGCGCUUGCCUAACGGGUCCGCUUCUAAUCGUCCGGGUUCUCGGACAAGGAUCCCUUAGUGGCCUUCAUUUUUGACACCUUUGACCUCAAAUCAGGUAGGACUACCCGCUGAACUUAAGCAUAUCAUU